UUAGGAGGUUCGAUUCCUUCCUUUUUUGUUCGGGUUUUAUAUAGACGGGUUCUUCAAAUGUGUGGUAGGGUGGGGGGCAUCCGUACAAUCACUCUAGGCUUGUGGAGGGUUGUUCAACUAUUGGGACUUUUCGUUUUGAGGCGAAGGCUUCUCAAAUUAUGAAAAUUAUUAGUAUAACUGCUGUUAGGGAGAUAAAUGAGCCUGUGGAUGAUAAAAUAUUUCAGGUGGUGUAUGCGUCGGGGUAGUCGGAGUAGCGUCGGGGUAUACCUGACAGGCCGAGGAAAUGCUGUGGGAAGAAAGUUAAAUUUACGCCGACAAAUAUGGUGAUGAAGUGAAUUUUAGCAUAGGUCUGGUCUAAGGUGUAGCCUGAGAAUAGUGGGAACCAGUGGAUGAAGCCUCCCAUGAUGGCGAAUACAGCUCCUAUUGAUAGGACGUAAUGAAAGUGGGCUACAACGUAGUAUGUAUCGUGUAGUACAAUGUCUAGUGAUGAGUUUGCUAGUACGAUGCCUGUUAGGCCGCCUACGGUGAAGAGGAAAAUAAAUCCUAAGGCUCAGAGGAUUGCGGCAGAUCAUUUAGUGUUGCUUCCGUGGAGUGUAGCGAGUCAGCUAAAUACUUUGACGCCGGUGGGGAUGGCAAUGAUUAUGGUAGCGGAGGGAAAGGAGAAGUAGGACUGCUGUGAUUAAGACUGAUCAGACGAAGAGGGGGGUUUGGUAUUGGGAUAUUGCAGGGGGUUUUAUAUUAAUAAUUGUUGUGAUGAAAUUGAUAGCUCCUAGGAUAGAGGAAAUGCCUGCUAGGUGUAAAGAGAAGAUUGUUAAGUCUACAGAGGCUCCUGGGUGAGAGUAGUUUCCUGCUAGGGGCGGAUAGACUGUUCAGCCCGUUCCUGCGCCAGCCUCUACUGUAGCAGAAGCGAGCAGUAGGAGAAAGGAGGGGGGGAGGAGUCAGAAGCUUAUAUUAUUUAUGCGCGGGAAUGCUAUGUCGGGGGCGCCAAUUAUUAGGGGCACUAGUCAGUUGCCAAAGCCUCCAAUUAUAAUGGGUAUGACUAUAAAAAAAAUUAUUACGAAUGCAUGAGCUGUGACGAUGACAUUGUAGAUAUGGUCAUUGCCUAGAAGGUUGCCGGGCUGGCCUAGUUCAGCUCGAAUGAGGAGGCUUAGGGCAGUGCCUAGGACUCCAGCUCAUGCGCCGAAUAACAGGUAUAGUGUUCCGAUGUCUUUGUGGUUUGUGGAGAAUAGCCAGCGGUUGGCGAACAUU
rnacentral:lncRNA from 1 species